GACGAACCGUGCGAACGUUGUUCGGAAUCACUGGGCUUAAAGGGCUCGUAGGCGGCCAACUAAGUCGGACGUGAAAUCCCCAGGCUCAACCUGGGAACUGCGUCCGAUACUGGAUGGCUUGAAUCCGGGAGAGGGAUGCAGAAUUCCAGGUGUAGCGGUGAAAUGCGUAGAUAUCUGGAGGAAUACCGGUGGCGAAGGCGGCAUCCUGGACCGGCAUUGACGCUGAGGAGCGAAAGCCAGGGGAGCAAACGGG
rnacentral:rRNA from 1 species